ACGAACGCUGGCGGCGUGCUUAACACAUGCAAGUCGAACGGAAAGGCCCUGCUUUUGUGGUGUGCUCGAGUGGCGAACGGGUGAGUAACACGUGAGUAACCUGCCCUUGACUUUGGGAUAACUUCAGGAAACUGGGGCUAAUACCGGAUAGGAGCUCCUGCUGCAUGGUGGGGGUUGGAAAGUUUCGGCGGUUGGGGAUGGACUCGCGGCUUAUCAGCUUGUUGGUGGGGUAGUGGCUUACCAAGGCUUUGACGGGUAGCCGGCCUGAGAGGGUGACCGGCCACAUUGGGACUGAGAUACGGCCCAGACUCCUACGGGAGGCAGCAGUGGGGAAUAUUGCACAAUGGGCGGAAGCCUGGUGCAGCAACGCCGCGUGCGGGAUGACGGCCUUCGGGUUGUAAACCGCUUUCGCCUGUGACGAAGCGUGAGUGACGGUAAUGGGUAAAGAAGCACCGGCUAACUACGUG
rnacentral:rRNA from 1 species